rnacentral:rRNA from 1 species
GAUGAACGCUGGCGGCGCGCCUAAUACAUGCCAGUCGAGCGAACGGACGAGAAGCUUGCUUCUCUGAUGUUAGCGGCGGACGGGUGAGUAACACGUGGAUAACCUACCUAUAAGACUGGGAUAACUUCGGGAAACCGGAGCUAAUACCGGAUAAUAUUUUGAACCGCAUGGUUCAAAAGUAAAAGACGGUCUUGCUGUCACUUAUAGAUGGAUCCGCGCUGCAUUAGCUAGUUGGUAAGGUAACGGCUUACCAUGGCAACGAUGCAUAGCCGACCUGAGAGGGUGAUCGGCCACACUGGAACUGAGACACGGUCCAGACUCCUACGGGAGGCAGCAGUAGGGAAUCUUCCGCAAUGGGCGAAAGCCUGACGGAGCAACGCCGCGUGAGUGAUGAAGGUCUUCGGAUCGUAAAACUCUGUUAUUAGGGAAGAACAUAUGUGUAAGUAACUGUGCACAUCUUGACGGUACCUAAUCAGAAAGCCACGGCUAACUACGUG